rfam:Alligator mississippiensis ScZkoYb_113.1, whole genome shotgun sequence.
CUUCUACUUUAACAUGGAGGUGCUUUCUGUGACUUAUAAGAAGUAAGUGCUUCCAUGUUUUAGUAGAGG